rnacentral:rRNA from 1 species
GGGUUGUGAGGUUAAGCGACUAAGCGUACACGGUGGAUGCCUAGGCAAUCAGAGGCGAUGAAGGACGUGCUAAUCUGCGAUAAGCGUCGGUAAGGUGAUAUGAACCGUUAUACCCGACGAUUUCCGAAUGGGGAAACCCAGUGCAAUCCGUUGCACUAUCGUUUGAUGAAUACAUAGUCAAACGAAGCGAACCGGGGGAACUGAAACAUCUCAGUACCCCGAGGAAAAGAAAUCAACCGAGAUUCCCCUAGUAGCGGCGAGCGAACGGGGAGCAGCCCAGAGUCUUAAUCAGCAUUAGUAUCAGGAGAACGGUCUGGAAAGUCCGGCAGUAAAGGGUGAUAGCCCCGUAUCUGAAGAUAUUAGUGUUGUGAACUCGACGAGUAGGGCGGGACACGUGUUAUCCUGUCUGAAUAUGGGGGGACCAUCCUCCAAGGCUAAAUACUCCUGAU